GGGCGUGUGGUCUAGUGGUAUGAUUCUCGCUUUGGGUGGCGAUUACCUAGUAAUUAACACAAGCAUGCGAGAGGCCCUGGGUUCAAUUCCCAGCUCGCCCC
rnacentral:tRNA from 1 species